rnacentral:rRNA from 1 species
AACGAACGCUGGCGGCAUCCCUAACACAUGCCAGUCGAACGAGACCUUCGGGUCUAGUGGCGCACGGGUGCGUAACGCGUGGGAACCUGCCCUUAGGUUCGGAAUAACUCCCCGAAAGGGGUGCUAAUACCGGAUAAUGUCUUCGGACCAAAGAUUUAUCGCCUUUGGAUGGGCCCGCGUUGGAUUAGCUAGUUGGUAGGGUAAAAGCCUACCAAGGCGACGAUCCAUAGCUGGUCUGAGAGGAUGAUCAGCCACACUGGGACUGAGACACGGCCCAGACUCCUACGGGAGGCAGCAGUGGGGAAUAUUGGACAAUGGGCGAAAGCCUGAUCCAGCAAUGCCGCGUGAGUGAUGAAGGCCUUAGGGUUGUAAAGCUCUUUUACCCGGGAUGAUAAUAACAGUACCGGGAGAAUAAGCUCCGGCUAACUCCGUG